rnacentral:lncRNA from 1 species
UUGGCCUCCACAUAACUUUGAGAGCUUCAAUGAUGAUCUCGUCCUCAUGACCUGGGACAUAUGCUUGACUGUUCAUGAAUGGACAAACAUGAAAGUCGAGUUAGGCCAUUCGAUCCUAUCUCUAUCAUAUGUUAUGAUCUGUCUGACUUGAGAUCUACUCGGGAUAGCCUUCUGCGGCAAUAAGACUUUCAUCCUGCGAUAUCGCCUAUUAUUCUCCUGAGUCUCUCUUCUCGUGCCCCA